rnacentral:tRNA from 1 species
UAAAUAAUUUAUACAAAAUAUCUACUUUGGAUGUAGAAAAAUCUGAAAUUUCAAUUACCUUAA